CAACAACCGAAAGGAGGUGAUCCAGUGUCUCAUUGUCUCUACCCGCGUUCGCUGGGUGCCCUGAGCCUGAUCCCUGCCUCUGUCGGGGUAUCCGGGGUCUCCUGACACCCGUCUACGGCCGGUAUCGGCGCGUCAUCGCGCCUGACCGGUCGAAACGCGGUUCGACAAUGGGGGGUCGCUCCGAAAGGAGCGGCCC
rnacentral:sRNA from 1 species